GUAAUACUCCAUAGUUCGUUAUUACUGGAAUGUUUUUCGAACGAAAGAUCCGUCGCUUCAGGAUGAGUCUGCGGCCGAUUAGGUAGUUGUUGGGGUAAUUGCCCAACAAGCCUGUAAUCGGUACGGGUUGUGGGAGCAAGAGCCCGGAGAUGGAUUCUGAGACACGAAUCCAGGCCCUACGGGGCGCAGCAGGCGCGAAAACUUUACCAUGCGGGCAACCGUGAUAAGGAAACCCCGAGUGCCAGCACAGGCUGGCUGUCCGCCAGUUUAAACAACUGGCGAAGAAAGGGCCGGGCAAGACCGGUGCCAGCCGCCGCGGUAAUACCGGCGGCUCGAGUGGUGGCCGCUAUUACUGGGCUUAAAGGGUCCGUAGCUUGAUAAUAGGGUCCCUUGAGAAAUCCGCCGGCUUAACUGGCGGGCGUUCAGGGGAAACUUGUUUUCUAGGGACCGGGAGAGGUGAGGGGUACUGCCGGGGUAGGAGUGAAAUCCUGUAAUCCCGGUGGGACCACCUAUGGCGAAGGCAUCUCACCAAAACGGGUCCGACAGUGAGGGACGAAAGCUGGGGGAGCAAACCGGAUUAAAUACCCGGGUAGUCCCAGCUGUAAACUAUGUGCGUUAGGUGU
rnacentral:rRNA from 1 species